rnacentral:lncRNA from 1 species
AUAGUGCAGGUUAUUUGAAUUUGUUAGUCUUUGUGAGCUUAACUACAUGUUAUUCUCUUAUUGUGAAGUGUAUAAUUUAAAAAUGUAUUUUGGUAUUUCAACACACUUUAUGAAGUUAUUGUGAUGCUCUAUUUUUCACAUUUUUGACAAUCUAUUACACAAGAUUUUAUAGGUGAAAUGUAUAGUCAGACAUCAUCAACCAAGGCAUCAAAAAAGCC